GGGGAAUAUUGCGCAAUGGGGGGAACCCUGACGCAGCCAUGCCGCGUGAAUGAAGAAGGCCUUAGGGUUGUAAAGUUCUUUCGGUAUUGAGGAAGGUUGAUGUGUUAAUAGCACAUCAAAUUGACGUUAAAUACAGAAGAAGCACCGGCUAACUCCGUGCCAGCAGCCGCGGUAAUACGGAGGGUGCGAGCGUUAAUCGGAAUAACUGGGCGUAAAGGGCACGCAGGCGGUUAUUUAAGUGAGGUGUGAAAGCCCUGGGCUUAACCUAGGAAUUGCAUUUCAGACUGGGUAACUAGAGUACUUUAGGGAGGGGUAGAAUUCCACGUGUAGCGGUGAAAUGCGUAGAGAUGUGGAGGAAUACCGAAGGCGAAGGCAGCCCCUUGGGAAUGUACUGACGCUCAUGUGCGAAAGCGUGGGGAGCAAACAGGAUUAGAUACCCUGGUAGUCCACGCUGUAAACGCUGUCGAUUUGGGAGUUGGGGUUUAACUCUGGCGCCCGUAGCUAACGUGAUAAAUCGACCGCCUGGGGAGUACGGCCGCAAGGUUA
rnacentral:rRNA from 1 species